CUAAUUUCAUCCAUGGCUUUGUCCGAUCAUCUAAAAAGCACUCUGCCAUGAGACAUGUAUAUGAGGAGAACACUAGGUGAACAUGAAGACUGUCAUCUACAAGCCAAGAGAUGCCAGGAGCAGGUCCUUCAGAGCCCUCAGAAGGAACCAACUCUGCUGGCACCUUGAUUUUGGACUUCCAGCCUCCAGAACUAAGAACUUGAUCUAUACCUCCUGACCUGUUCUGGUAGCUGCCUCUCAAUAGAUGGGAAGUUCCUGAACAGACAGUAUUUAUUUUAUGCCUCAAGCCAAGUAUCUAGGGGGCUGGAGAGUUUGAGGGCAAAGCAUGAUAACUGAGCAGCAAGCAGAAUGAAGGACCAGUGACCAACAUGGACAAACUGAAUUUCAAUCUGAAUUUAGAAGAGGUACCACCAAAUACCCUUUUUUUCUACCUAAAAUACAUUGCUUGGGAGUCCCUGAACAAAGGGGCAAAAUGAAAAUACCUAGGUAAACAUGGGAGUUGAUGACAAGACAUUAAUUCUUGCUUGGCUGGUAGUUUAGAAACUUGGGAAUAAAAAUUAGAAAGGGAUGCUUCA
rnacentral:lncRNA from 13 species